CAGUAGCGUAUAUUAAAGCUGUUGCAGUUAAAAAGCUCGUAGUUGGAUCUUGGGCCCAGGCCUGCGGUCCGCCGUGAGGCGUGUACUGCAGUCCUGGCCUUCCUCUCGGUUUUCGCCCGGUGCCCUUAAUUGAGUGCCAGGAGAGGCCGGAACGUUUACUUUGAAAAAUUGGAGUGUUCAAAGCAGGCCUCGCGCCUGAACAGCAGAGCAUGGAAUAAUGGAAUAGGACCUCGGUUCUAUUGCGUUGGUUUUCGGAACUCGAGGUAAUGAUUAAGAGGGACUGACGGGGGCAUUCGUAUUGCGGUGUGAGAGGUGAAAUUCUUGGAUCGCCGCAAGACGACCGACUGCGAAAGCAUUUGCCAAGAAUGUUUUCAUUAAUCAAGAACGAAAGUUAGAGGUUCGAAGACGAUUAGAUACCGU
rnacentral:rRNA from 1 species